GACAGAGGAUGCAAGCGUUAUCCGGAAUGAUUGGGCGUAAAGCGUCUGUAGGUGGCUUUUUAAGUCCGCCGUCAAAUCCCAGGGCUCAACCCUGGACAGGCGGUGGAAACUACCAAGCUGGAGUACGGUAGGGGCAAAGGGAAUUUCCAGUGGAGCGGUGAAAUGCGUAGAGAUUGGAAAGAACACCGAUGGCGAAGGCACUUUACUGGGCUAGUUACUAACACUCAGAGACGAAAGCUAGGGUAG
rnacentral:rRNA from 1 species